AGAGAGGUUUAGCAAAGACGACGGGACGUCACAGACGACGUGAAAAUGACAUCGUAUGCACAUCCAUUUUCACGUCGUCCUUGACGUCGCGUCGUCUUUUCUAAACCUCUUU